rnacentral:rRNA from 1 species
AACGUAGGGGACAAGCGUUAUCCGGAUUUACUGGGCGUAAAGCGCCCGUAGGCGGCUUGAUAAGUUGGACGUGAAAGCUCCCGGCUUAACUGGGAGAGGCCGUUCAAAACUGCCAAGCUAGAGUGAGGAAGAGGAGAGCAGAAUUCCCGGUGUAGUGGUGGAAUGCGUAGAGAUCGGGAGGAAUACCAGUGGCGAAAGCGGCUCUCUGGUCCUAAACUGACGCUGAGGGGCGAAAGCGUGGGGAGCAAACAGG